GAUGGGUGUAUUCCGUAUACAGAGAGACAAACAGUGGAAUAAUUAUGAAGAUACAAUACUGUAUAACACUGUUAUCACUGCUUAUUACGGAAAACAGUUGUAUUUUAGUAAAUGUAGCGCUUGGGAAGAAACCUGAACAGUUAGGAGGACAAGAAACAUGGCCAUCUUCAAAUGCUGUUGACGGAAUAAAAGAAUGUCAGAAUGUCAACAGCAAACAUUUCACAUUAUCAGGAGUCAGUGAUUUACCGUGGUGGAAGCUUGACCUUGGUGGAUUAUUUCAGAUUCAUCAAGUCAAUGUAUUGGGAAGGAACGACGGACACUUUAGUGAGUUGAGAUCCGU